rnacentral:lncRNA from 1 species
GAAAAGAUGAGCCACAUAAUGACCCAACCAACACUUUGUCACUCUACAGCGGUCCUUCAAAUCCUGCUUUGACAUCAGGCAGCUUCAAUUUGUUGCAGCCUGCAGGACCAGAAGCAAUUGGGGAGAAGAGAGCAGCCUUUGGCACGCAUCUACUACCGACUCAAACUCAGAGUUUCCAAUCCCUAGGAAGACAUCUCCACUGCUCAGUGCCCCACCCCCGGCAUGUGCAUACUCAUUCUUUGUUUUGAUAAGCAAAUCAGACAAAAAGAGGGUGGAUUUUUGCCUGGUUUCCCUUCUAAAUUGCCACUUAUACCCUGAC